UACGUAGGGGCCUAGCGUUGUCCGGAAUUAUUGGGCGUAAAGCGCGCGCAGGCGGUGCGGUAAGUCUGUCGUGAAAUCUCCCGGCUCAACUGGGAGGGUGCGGUGGAGACUGCCGGACUGGAGGCACUCAGAGGCCGGUGGAAUUCCCGGUGUAGUGGUGAAAUGCGUAGAGAUCGGGAGGAACACCAGUGGCGAAGGCGGCCGGCUGGGGGUGACCUGACGCUGAGGCGCGAAAGCGUGGGGAGCGAACCGG
rnacentral:rRNA from 1 species